rnacentral:rRNA from 1 species
UACGGAGGGGCAAGCGUUGUUCGGAAUUACGUGGCGUAAAGCGUCUGUAGGUGGCUUUUUAAGUCCGCCGUCAAAUCCCAGGGCUCAACCCUGGACAGGCGGUGGAAACUACUAAGCUGGAGUACGGUAGGGGCAGAGGGAAUUUCCGGUGGAGCGGUGAAAUGCGUAGAGAUCGGAAAGAACACCAACGGCGAAAGCACUCUGCUGGGCCGACACUGACACUGAGAGACGAAAGCUAGGGGAGCGAAUGGG